GGGCGGAGAAAGGGGGGGCGGAGAAGAGGGGGCGGAGAACAGGAGAGAGAGGAGGGAAUCGAGGAGGAGGGAAGGGAAGGCAGCGGAGCUCAGCGGAUCCGAGAGGAGCUCAGCAACUCGGAGCUGAACUGAGCGCGCCGAGCGCUCCCCAGGCGCCGCUCUACCUGAGCUCCCCCGCCCCCUCUAGUGCCCCGCCCCCCACUGCGGCUCUACCUGCAUUCCCCCUCCGGGUAUCUGUUCCCAGCACCACCCCCCCUCAGCCAGGCACGCGCUGCUGCCGCUGCGGGACUGGCCGGGCACCUGGCACCUGGCGACCGCUGCGGGCACACCUCUCCACCUAGCUAGGCACUGGCAAGCGGGAGCCGCUCAGCCCGAGCAAGAGCUGGCGCGCAGACUGACAGACAGACAGACAGGCGGGUGGCCAGAAGGAGGGGACGCGAGAGAAGCAGGGUGCCGCCAACAAGGAAGAGCCCGCGGCCAACUUUGCCUCCGAGCGCCCAGGCUGAGCCUGUGCCCCCCAACAUGGCCUCCGCAGCCGCCGAAGCCCCGGGAGCCCAGAACAGUGAGAAAGGCUUCCACUACAUCAGCAGCGGAAAAAAAGAAAUUCAUGUUUGGAGCCCUGAACCAUGAAUGCAACAUGUUCUAUUAUGUUGCAAUAAAGAUAAAUUUUGGAUUGACCUUUUCUGCAUCUUGAUGUGGUCCAUAAACAUCACUGCUCCUCAUGAUAACAACUGGAAACAGUUCCCAGUAAGAUUGUACAAAACAUUCUGCAGCUGCUCUAGAUGAUGCAAAAGGAUUUGUAGGUUGUUUUGGUGAAGACUCAUCACAUUUGUCAUCAAGGCUACCCCUGCAGAGUUUGUCAGCGUUCAUAUAAAUAAAUUUCCCUAUUCUGGCUUCGUAAGCA
rnacentral:lncRNA from 1 species